ACACUUGCCGCGCUUCGAGGUGACCCUGCGGCGUCCUGCCGCCGGGUUGAAACGGGAAGCCGGUGACGCCGCCGACGCGGCCAUUCCGGCACUGCCCCCGCAACGGUAAGCAGGCGGCCUGCAGAUGCAGGCCCGGCCGCGGCCACCGCCACUGUGCCCAAGUGCAUGGGAAGGCGCCGCGGACGCGUCGCACCCGCGACGACUGCGAGUCCGGAGACCGGCCCCGGAGCCGACUGGUUG
rnacentral:ncRNA from 2 species